rnacentral:rRNA from 1 species
UAGGGAAUCUUCCACGAUGGGCGCAAGCCUGAUGGAGCAACACCGCGUGAGUGAAGAAGGGUUUCGGCUCGUAAAGCUCUGUUGUUAAAGAAGAACACGUAUGAGAGUAACUGUUCAUACGUUGACGGUAUUUAACCAGAAAGUCACGGCUAACUACGUGCCAA